UGCCUGGCGCCUGGAACUUUCGUCUCAGCCUUAGAUUUUGACAAGGUGAGCAAAGUUUCAGGUGUGUCGGCGA
rfam:Trichinella spiralis unplaced genomic scaffold Scfld4, whole genome shotgun sequence.